rnacentral:rRNA from 1 species
UACGAAGGGUGCAAGCGUUACUCGGAAUUAUUGGGCGUAAAGCGUCCGCAGGUGGCUAUUCAAGUCUGCGGUCAAAGACUGGGGCUUAACCCUGGAAAGGCCGUGGAAACUGAAGAGCUAGAGUGCAGUAGGGGUAGAGGGAAUUCCCGGUGUAGCGGUGAAAUGCGUAGAGCUCGGGAAGAACAUCGGUGGCGAAAGCGCUCUGCUGGACUGCAACUGACACUCAGGGACGAAAGCUAGGGGAGCGAAUGGG